UACGAAGGGUGCAAGCGUUGUUCGGAUUUAUUGGGCGUAAAGCGUACGUAGGCGGACGGUUAAGUCAGGUGUGAAAUCUCGGGGCUCAACCCCGAAAUUGCGCCUGAAACUGGCCAUCUAGAAUACUGAAGAGGGAGGGGGAAUUUCGCAUGUAGGGGUAAAAUCCGUAGAUAUGCGAAGGAACACCAGAGGCGAAGGCGCCUUCCUGGUCGGUUAUUGACGCUGAUGUACGAAAGCGUGGGGAGCAAACAGG
rnacentral:rRNA from 2 species